AAAAACUAUAAGAAAGCGCAGAGUGGAAUCAACCCUUUCUGGCUUUCACUGCCCUUUUUUCUCACUGCUUCUCUCUUUCUUCACAGCUUCUUCGUCUUUCUUCCGUCUCUAAGAAAGAGAAGGGAAGGGAAGAGAAGAUUGAUAAACAGGGAUGGAUCCUCCAACCUCUCAAAGGAUGUCAACAAUUGAUGAUCCGCAAGACGACGCCAUUAAUGAAUGUUGUUCUUGUUGCUACGAUUGCACUGGUAGUUGUUUCGAUUACUUUUGUUGCUUCUUUCUUUGCCAAGAUUAGAAGAAGAUUUUUGAUUUCCAUGGAAAGAUAGAGGAAGAUGGGACCAAAUCUGAUCUGUUUUUUUCUUUUGAUGGAUGUGAUUUUUUUUAUUUCCAUGGAAAUUCUGAGUGACUGAGUCCUUGCUGUGUUGUUGCUGAUUAAGUAUCAUCAAUGUAUCUGUGUAGAAAUAUCAGAUAGAAAAAAAUUUCUGAUCUAAAUUUGAGAGUUCAUAUCUAUUAUUGUCCAAUUAGAUGUAUUUCCAUUUGCAGAGGAGA